rnacentral:rRNA from 1 species
AUUGAACGCUGGCGGCAGGCCUAACACAUGCAAGUCGAACGAGUGGCGGACGGGUGAGUAAUGUCUGGGAAACUGCCUGAUGGAGGGGGAUAACUACUGGAAACGGUAGCUAAUACCGCAUACCAUCGGAUGUGCCCAGAUGGGAUUAGCUAGUAGGUGGGGUAAAGGCUCACCUAGGCGACGAUCCCUAGCUGGUCUGAGAGGAUGACCAGCCACACUGGAACGGAGACACGGUCCAGCCUCCUACGGUAGGCAGCAGUGGGGAAGAGUGGACAAUGGGCGAAAGCCUGAUCCAGCCAUGCCGCGUGUGUGAAGAAGGUCUUCGGAUUGUAAAGCACUUUAAGUUGGGCGGCGUUACCAACAGAAUAAGCACCGGCUAACUUCGUGCCAGCAGCCGCGGUAAUUC